AGCCCCGUGGUGGAGUACACACUGGAUUGCAAAUCCAGAGACGCAGAUUGACGUCUGCCGGGGCUU
rnacentral:tRNA from 1 species